rnacentral:rRNA from 1 species
GAUGAACGCUGGCGGCGUGCUUAACACAUGCAAGUCGAGCGAUGAAGUUUCCUUCGGGAAACGGAUUAGCGGCGGACGGGUGAGUAACACGUGGGUAACCUGCCUCAUAGAGUGGAAUAGCCUUCCGAAAGGAAGAUUAAUACUGCAUAACGUUGAAAGAUGGCAUCAUCAUUCAACCAAAGGAGCAAUCCGCUAUGAGAUGGACCCGCGGCGCAUUAGCUAGUUGGUGGGGUAACGGCCUACCAAGGCGACGAUGCGUAGCCGACCUGAGAGUGUGAUCGGCCACAUUGGGACUGAGACACGGCCCAGACUCCUACGGGAGGCAGCAGUGGGGAAUAUUGCACAAUGGGGGAAACCCUUAUGCAGCAACGCCGCGUGAGUGAUGAAGGUUUUCGGAUCGUAAAGCUCUGUCUUUGGGGAAGAUAAUGACGGUACCCAAGGAGGAAGCCACGGCUAACUACGUGCCAGCCGCCGCAGUAACAC